GUGGUAAGUGUUGGCGGAAUUAUUGGGCGCCAGAUCGUAAAGGUGGUCCUUUAAGUCUGAUGUGAAAGCCCACGGCUCAACCGUGGAGGGUCAUUGGAAACUGGGGGACUUGAGUGCAGAAGAGAAGAGUGGAAGUCCACGUGUAGCGGUGAAAUGCGUAGAGAUGUGGAGGAACACCAGUGGCGAAGGCGACUCUUUGGUCUGUAACUGACGCUGAGGCGCGAAAGCGUGGGGAGCAAACAGGAUUAGAUACCCUGGUAGUCCACGCCGUAAACGAUGAGUGCUAAGUGUUAGAGGGUUUCCGCCCUUUAGUGCUGCAGCAAACGCAUUAAGCACUCCGCCUGGGGAGUACGGCCGCAAGGCUGAAACUCAAAGGAAUUGACGGGGGCCCGCACAAGCGGUGGAGCAUGUGGUUUAAUUCGAAGCUACGCGAAGAACCUUACCAGGUCUUGACAUCCUCUGACACUCCUAGAGAUAGGACGUUCCCCUUCGGGGGACAGAGUGACAGGUGGUGCAUGGUUGUCGUCAGCUCGUGUCGUGAGAUGUUGGGUUAAGUCCCGCAACGAGCGCAACCCUUGAUCUUAGUUGCCAGCAUUAAGUUGGGCACUCUAAGGUGACUGCCGGUGACAAACCGGAGGAAGGUGGGGAUGACGUCAAAUCAUCAUGCCCCUUAUGACCUGGGCUACACACGUGCUACAAUGGAUGGUACAAAGGGCAGCAAAACCGCGAGGUCGAGCAAAUCCCAUAAAACCAUUCUCAGUUCGGAUUGUAGGCUGCAACUCGCCUACAUGAAGCUGGAAUCGCUAGUAAUCGCGGAUCAGCAUGCCGCGGUGAAUACGUUCCCGGGCCUUGUACACACCGCCCGUCACACCACGAGAGUUUGUAACACCCGAAGUCGGUGGGGUAACCGUAAGGAGCCAGCCGCCUAAGGUGGGAUAGAUGUAGGGGGUGCAGCAGUG
rnacentral:rRNA from 1 species